AUUUAAGUUUGUCACUUAUCAAGUUCUCGCAUUAUCACUGUGCCUCAGAGGUUGUUUUUGUAGCAAUGGAGUAGAGAACAUCAGUUUUAUAUUUUCCCCACCAGAUGUGUUCUUGCUGAGUCGUUUCUUGGGAAGUUUUUAUUAUAUUUUUUUACCCUUUUCAUAUUUGUUUUUUGCACAUUCUGGAUAUAUACAUACUUCAGAAAUAUGUAAUAUAAAGGAAUCCUCUUAAGUUUCAUUUUAUUGUUCAAGUUUUGGUUUAGCCAUAGAGAGGUAUUCACAGUUGGGUCAUUCAUGAAUUCAUUUUGCACCAAUGUGUUGAUGAGCUAGCUAACUUAUCUAUAAUAAUUGAUAAAUAUAGCUUCUUUUGCUGAGAUGUAAAACCUGUUGUUUUGGACUCAUCUUGUAAGACAUCUAGCCACACAUUCUUAUCUAAGAACUGCCCUUUCUGUUUUCAGGCCUAGGUGCUGGCUUGAGUUGCUGAUUUUGUUUUGAGGCUGAUGCGGAGACCGACAAAGUGUACACUCAAAUGACGCUGCAGCCGCUGAACCUGCUGGCUACUUCUGCGUGCAGCGCCAUGAGGUGACAACAGGAACGUCGGCUCAAGGCGUCUACAGCCACGGCCUGUGGGGCGGCCACCGACGAGGGCAUGGAUCCCACUCAAUUUCUUCAGCUUGAUGGGUGCUACUGUUUAAGGGUCUAUUCAGGCUUUGGAUAUGAUAAUAAGUUCCAGAACGUGGCUGCGUAUGUCAGGCUUGCGGUUGUUACAUAUAAAUUAUAGUUUUGUCUUCAAAUGUUGCUUUCUAAGGUUAUCAGCGCUCGAAGAAUUGGUAUAACAGAAUUCAGUGUCAAGCUUGCUGCUGUUAUAUUUAGGUUGGAUGAAGCAUCGAGCGUUUCUUCCUUGAGAUGAUUAACAGAUCGUCAUGUGCAUUACUGUCCACAGCUUUACUCUAAAUUGGUUACCCUUUGAGCACUAAAGUGCAUCCUUCAUAUUUUCUCCGAGCGGAUUUUUUUUUCGAUGAAAAGGGACCAGUAGCAGAGGGACAUUUCUAAUGCCCACUGCCAUUUGAUGAAACACAGGUAUAAAAUCUCUUUUCGCUAUUCCAAAGUUCAUCUUCAGGUACAUUAGAACUGCCUCAUGGUGCUAAUAUAUGUUUAGUUGAAUGAUAAGGUUAGCUACAGCCUGAGCGUACAAUUCAAUAGUUUAGCAAAUGACAAGGGGGUGUGUGUGUAUAUUUCUUGCAUUAUUUUGCUUUGAUUUUACUUCAUGGUUUGAUGAAGUUAUUAUCAUUUUAGUUCUGUUUAUUAUCAGCAAUUUUUCACGCCUUACUGAAUAUACCAAUUGACUUCACGGGUUAUUCUCUACUUGGUGGAUUGGUGGUUUGCAAUUACCAAUUGAUGAUUUUUAGAAGGUCUGUGAUCAAAUUCCCUUCCAUAGAGAUGUUGAGUGUACCAGAAAAUAUGGCAUGGUAGAACUGCAUGAAGUAAAUCAGAGAGAGCAAAAGAAAAAUGUAUAUGCACUUCUCUGCUCCCUGUGCCACUCGAAAUUUAGUGAAAGAAUUCUCCAAAAAGAGAAUUAGCUACAGAAUUAGGCGAACCAUGAGUAUCCAUGUGUGGGGACUUAUCAGUACUUUCGAUGCAGGUCUAGCAUUUGAAAAAUCAUCUAACACCCUUUUAGACCGGUCUGUGUAUUUUACUGUAAGUGUAUGCCUUUGCUUCUCGAAUUUGAAAAAUGUCAUUACACCCUUUUUAGAUCUGUCUGCAUUUUUUACUCCAAGUGUAUGCCUUUGCUUCUCGAAUUUGCAUAGUUAAGCUAAGUCUACCGUUCUACACAGAUAUGUUCCUUGAGAAAAUGUCAUUACACCCUUUUUGGAUCUGUCUGCAUUUUUUACUCCAAGUCUAUGUUUUUGCUUCUCAAAUUUGCACGGUUAAACUAAGUCUACCAUUCUACACAGAUAUGUUCAUUGAGAAAAUGUCAAUUUUGUAAUACAAGUACAAUUUUCAGAUAUAUCAGGAUGGUAGAACUGGAUGCAACCUUCUGUCCUAGGCUGAUCAGAACUCAAGAAACUAGCAGACCGCAAUGGUAUUGUUGCAGCGAAACAUAUAAGCAUUCCUAUUUGAUAGCUUUUUUGGUCCUUUCUCAGUUGAAAUAUGAAAUAUAUUUGCAAGAUGCUGAUGCAAAAUGAUAUUUACUUGGCUACAAUGUUGAAAUUGACAUGAACUACACUUCUCCACUUAGGCUGUAGCCAUAUAUGAGUCCUAUUAAAUUCUUGAAAGUUGUCCGACUAAGUCAGGUUCUCAUUCAUGUUUUAUGUUAGUCUUAUUUUUAUUUUGAAUGUGCAUGCAUGAUAUGCUUACGAACUUUUUCUUGGUACUGGACUCUUUAAACAUAAUAAAUUAUCAGUAGUGUACUAAUGACAAUUGACAAUAUGCUUUACCACCCAUUUGAAAUGCAAAUGCUCAUGUCUUAUUUUCUACAAUAGUAUCUGAUGUAGGCCUCUUAAUAUGGUAGUAGUAUCAUAUAAAUAUUUAUUUACACAAUUUAUGCUUCGUUUGUUCUUGGAUAACACAAUAAUAACAUGAUAUACCUCUGAU